GCUGAUCAUAACACUUCUAUUAAUAUGCUUAAAGAAGUUAUUUUACCGAGGUGUGGAGUCCCUAGAUAUUUAAUAACUGAUGGUGGUUCACAUUUUAUUCAUGGUGCUUUUCGUAAAAUGCUUGCUAAGUAUGAUAUUAAUCAUAGAUUUGCAUCUCCAUACCACCCCCAGUCUAGUGGUCAAGUAGAAUUGAGUAAUAGAGAGAUUAAAUUAAUCUGGCAAAAGGCUGUUAAUAGAUCUAGAAAGAAUUGGUCCAAGAAACUUGAUGAUGCAUUAUGGGCCUAUAGAAUUGCAUAUAAAAAUCCUAUGGGUAUG
rnacentral:rRNA from 1 species